UACGUAGGGGGCAAGCGUUGUCCGGAUUUGUUGGGCGUAAAGAGCGUGUAGGCGGUCAGAUAGGUCCGUUGUGAAAACUCGAGGCUCAACCUCGAGACGCCGAUGGAAACCAUCUGACUAGAGUCCGGAAGAGGAGAGUGGAAUUCCUGGUGUAGCGGUGAAAUGCGCAGAUAUCAGGAAGAACACCCGUGGCUAAGGCGGCUCUCUAGUACGGUACUGACGCUGAGACGCGAAAGCGUGGGGAGCGAACAGG
rnacentral:rRNA from 1 species